rnacentral:rRNA from 1 species
UGGGGAAUUUUGGACAAUGGGCGAAAGCCUGAUCCAGCAAUGCCGCGUGUGUGAAGAAGGCCUUCGGGUUGUAAAGCACUUUUGUCCGGAAAGAAAUCCUCUGGGUUAAUACCUCGGGGGGAUGACGGUACCGGAAGAAUAAGCACCGGCUAACUACGUGCCAGCAGCCGCGGUAAUACGUAGGGUGCAAGCGUUAAUCGGAAUUACUGGGCGUAAAGCGUGCGCAGGCGGUUUUGUAAGACGGAUGUGAAAUCCCCGGGCUUAACCUGGGAACUGCAUUCGUGACUGCAAGGCUAGAGUAUGGCAGAGGGGGGUAGAAUUCCACGUGUAGCAGUGAAAUGCGUAGAGAUGUGGAGGAAUACCGAUGGCGAAGGCAGCCCCCUGGGCCAAUACUGACGCUCAUGCACGAAAGCGUGGGGAGCAAACAGGAUUAGAUACCCUGGUAGUCCACGCCCUAAACGAUGUCAACUAGUUGUUGGGGAUUCAUUUCCUAGUAACGUAGCUAACGCGUGAAGUUGACCGCCUGGGGAGUACGGUCGCAAGAUUAAAACUUAAAGGAAUUGACGGGGU